rnacentral:tRNA from 1 species
CGAAGCUUAGAGCGUUAACCUUUUAAGUUAAAGAUAGAGAUAUUGAGUCUCCGCAGUGA